rnacentral:misc_RNA from 1 species
GGGUGACAUACUAUAUCGGCUGCAGUACUAACGAUCAGUGGCCUAUUAAAACAUAUAAAAUAUUUAUUACCUUCAUCCAGGUAUAAUGUACAGAUAUUCCGAUGGACCUGAACGUCAAUACUCUGCAAAGAGUAGUUCCUUGAAACUGUGAUUACGGAAGAGACGAUAAAACGAGCGACGACCAGCCUUGAAUUUAUCCGAAAUUUACCUAAAGCUCGGCUUAUCGACGCUAAAUAAAAAAGAAAUUGACAUCAUGGCAUUGGUGAUGCUUCCCUGUGAUUUGCCUUGGUGGCCUUCAGUCGUGAAACAACUGGACCAAGCAGCGGCUGCAACAAACUCUCAGCAACUUUUAGAAGCAAUGUAUCGGUUACACGAUAUGUGCAACAUAAGUCUCGACCCAGAGGAAGAUGUUCAGGACCCAAACUUAUUUGCCGAAUUGGCAAGGUUCUUGGACGAAGACUUCACUUCAGGGGAAAGGGAACAAUUCUUCACAAAAACAAUUCCAAAGGUAGUACAACAUGCCAAGUCUCUCAAAUCUACAAAACCUCCGGAAGGACUUCAUUUUAGCCUGCAGCAACAAACCGAUAGUGCAGAGUACAGCUACAACUUUGUUUCCUCCCUGAUAGCAAAUGCAUUUUUUUCAACAUAUCCCAAAAGAACGAGAAAAACUCAUCCUACGCUGCAAGAUUUCAACUUCACUAAUUUCUUCAAAUAUCUUCACAUGAAUAGUCAGAAGGCAAAAUUGAGAAGCAUAUUUGCCUACUUUAAUUUCUUGAGCGAGGACACGUCAUUGGAUGGACAAUUAAUAAUUUCCAGACAGGUCAUGUCGUCAAAACAGUGGUUGACAAUAGAAGAUUGGCUCGAGAGCAGCAUCCCUCUUUGUCCUCUCACUAUUCGCCAUGAAGGAAGGGUGGAAAGGGCUGAAGCUCACUUACUGCAUGUAUGCUUCACUAGUUCAAGGCUAGGUGGUGGAGUAUUGAGCAGCGAAAUUACACAAGAAAGCAUCCAAAUGGCAACGCAUCCUGAGCUGUUGGCUGCAUUACUCUCUGUUGAAGCAUUAGAAGACAAUGAGGUUUUGAUCAUAGAAGGUGCCAGAAAUAUUUCCAGGAUAAUUGAUCCAAAACAUAGAUCUACUUUUGAAAGUAUACCAAAACCAAAAACAGUAACAAUAUGCUGUAUGGAUGCCGAAGACUAUUCUACGCUGCCCCUUGCACAAUAUGAGGAAGACAAUGUGCUGCGAGAAAUGAACAAAUCGUUGUUGGGAUUCAGGCAAAGGCAUGUCCCUAUCACCCCAACGAAUCCUGUCAAAUUGGAGCCAGAUCCAGGUGCUCGGCGGUUGUCACCGAUUGGAGAAAGUUUCAGUAGCACCCCGCCAGAGGCCGAGGAAAAGUCAAUCGCAACAAUUAAUUAUAACAUUAAAGCAUCGACAAAAGAGAUGAACGGUUCCGACGGUGUGGAAAUGAGAACAAAACCAAAUGGUAAAUCAGUCGAAUCGCUAAGUCCAGCAAAAACUACAGGCUGUUCCAAUAAAAGAGGCCGAUUCAUAGUUCUUGGCUCAAGUGGAGAAGUUUUGCCUGUUACCAGAAAGUCCUUAGGGCAGGUGUCUGUCUACAGCAGUUGCAAUAGCCAAAGCACUGACAGCUUCCAUAGCGCCAAAGAAUCUGUCGACGAGGAUCAAGAAGAUGAAGAGCAAAAGCUCACUAGGCUUUAUAGCGCACAGUUAGAUUCGUUCGAACGACGAGGGACUUUUGCUCAGAGACUGAAGGAUGCUUUGAGGCGAGAAAGUACAGCAACCGGAACAACGUCUUCAAUUUCUUCUGCAGGCAGCAGUUAUGCGGUUGGAAUAAGCGUGACCGGAAGUCAUGUCGGUGAUCCAGAUAUUAAAGUGAGGAGAGGGGGAUCCAGAGGAUUUGUUUUAAGAGAUGAUACGGUGGAUGAAGAAUUUCUAAAGGAAUCGUUGGAAGCUGAGCAAAAGUGGCUCGGAAGAUUCAAGCAAAGUCAACACCCGAUGCUGCAAAGACGCGAUACCAACGCGAGCAGCAAGUACAGUUUUAGUACAGAAUACAGCUCAGAAUUUUCUUCAGAACUUGAAGAAGUCUACGAGCAAUUAUCUAAGUGGCUGGAGGAUCCUAUAGUUGCUGACGAAAGCCGUGAAUUAGAUGCAAGAGAUAGAGCUGUGGUAAGAUUUGCUGGUUCGCUUUUAAAGAGAGCGUUGAGCGAGUCGUUUGCAGGCGUUCCUGUCCAAGAGGGAGAACCUCAAGCUUUAAUUGGCACCGAGGAGGUUCAAGAACGUCAUAAGCUGGCAUUAGCAGUCAGAAGCCUGAGCUUAGAGCUUGCGCGGCACAAGCAUAAAAGACAGCAUUCGGUUCCCGAAGGUGAGUACAAGAAUUAUGAAGAUGCUCUGAGUGAAGAUUCUGCUGUAGCCAGAGAUGUUAAAUCGACACAACGCAGAAAUCUCUGGGUCAUUUCUUUCACGUCUGAAGUGAGACAGACUCUGACCGAUGACGUGGCUACGAUUUCGCUGCCGCAAGGUUUGCCGUUGACCGAUACAGAAACAAUAACAACAAUAACACAGGAUGACAAGUGGUCAAAAAGUUUUGCUGAACUUCUACCCCACAAUUUUCCAAGAGUUGCGAUUGCAAAGGAAGAUAAGAGGAUGCUACACUGGAGCGAAUUAGCGACAUCAAUAGCCGAUGUAUGAAGUAGUGAUUAUUGCGCGAUGAUCCAACGAAUUGAAUUGCAAUUUAUGCUAGAAUAGAAAUUUUGCAAUCAUCAUUAACGGUAGUAGUGGUACAAUUGGAAUAUUUUUUAAGUCAAUUUUGACACCGAGUGUCGGGAAACUGUAAGAAAUGCUAUUAUAGCAUAAAUUUCUUUCACAUUGACUAAUCGAUGUGUGGGGUUACACUUGUCUAUGUAGUUUACACUGUAUCAUUAACAGAUCAAUUUACUGCUUAACAAGAAAGGUUUAAUUAAUGUCUCUCAAGAAAGCAGCCCUCAGGCCGGUGGCUUAUUGCCAGUAGUAACUGGGAACUGGGGUUGCGGUUCAC